CGCGGCCUAUCAGCUUGUUGGUGAGGUAACGGCUCACCAAGGCAUCGACGGGUAGCUGGUCUGGGAGGACGAUCAGCCACACUGGGACUGAGACACGGCCCAGACUCCUACGGGAGGCAGCAGUAGGGAAUCUUGCGCAAUGGGCGAAAGCCUGACGCAGCAACGCCGCGUGGGGGAUGAAUGCCUUCGGGUUGUAAACCCCUUUCAGCAGGGACGAAAAUGACGGUACCUGCAGAAGAAGCUCCGGCCAACUACGUGCCAGCAGCCGCGGUAAUACGUAGGGAGCGAGCGUUGUCCGGAAUUAUUGGGCGUAAAGAGCUCGUAGGCGGUUCGGUAAGUCGGGUGUGAAAACUCAAGGCUCAACCUUGAGACGCCACUCGAUACUGCUGUGACUUGAGUCCGGUAGAGGAGUGUGGAAUUCCUGGUGUAGCGGUGAAAUGCGCAGAUAUCAGGAGGAACACCAGCGGCGAAGGCGGCACUCUGGGCCGGUACUGACGCUGAGGAGCGAAAGCAUGGGGAGCAAACAGGAUUAGAUACCCUGGUAGUCCAUGCCGUAAACGUUGGGCACUAGGUAUGGGAUCAUAUCAACGGAUUCCGUGCCGUAGCUAACGCAUUAAGUGCCCCGCCUGGGGAGUACGG
rnacentral:rRNA from 1 species